UAAUUGUGAUGAUGGAUUCCCAAGCAUUUCAAGUUUCCACCAGAAAAGCAUUUCUUCAUGUUGGCCAGUUUUUCUUUGGAUGCAUGAAUUA
rnacentral:snoRNA from 1 species